rnacentral:rRNA from 1 species
AUACGAAGGGGGCUAGCGUUGCUCGGAAUUACUGGGCGUAAAGCGCACGUAGGCGGGUCGUUAAGUCGGGGGUGAAAUCCUGGAGCUCAACUCCAGAACUGCCUUCGAUACUGGCGAUCUCGAGUCCGGGAGAGGUGAGUGGAACUCCGAGUGUAGAGGUGAAAUUCGUAGAUAUUCGGAGGAACACCAGUGGCGAAGGCGGCUUACUGGUCCAUUACUGACGCUGAGGUGCGAAAGCGUGGGGAGC